rnacentral:rRNA from 1 species
GACGAACUGUCCUAACGUUGUUCGGAAUCACUGGGCUUAAAGGGCGCGUAGGCGGUCCGACAAGUCGGGGGUGAAAUCCUGCAGCUUAACUGCAGAAGUGCCUUUGAUACUGUCGGUCUUGAGGGAGAUAGGGGUGUGCGGAACUCACAGUGGAGCGGUGAAAUGCGUUGAUAUUGUGAGGAACGCCGGAGGCGAAAGCGGCGCACUGGAUCUCUUCUGACGCUGAGGCGCGAAAGCUAGGGGAGCAAACGGG